AUGAUUCAUUUUGCAUCACUCAGAAGCGCUGUCCUCCGACAUCUCGUUCAUAAACGCCCAGAGCCCGGAGCCACUUGCUGCACCGCUGAGAAUGACGUACCUCAAGGAGAAGUCACCCACAGCCUUCCGCUGUGCCGCCCGGGAGCACGCGGGACCCCUUCUUACUGGAGCCAAAGUGCACUGCGGGCUGGCGCCUCCGUCCCCUGUGCACCUGCCACACGCGCUCCCUGUGUGUGUGCCGUGCGCAUCUCCAACUCCGUUCCCUACUCGGGUGAGGGGACUGCAAAAAGUUUGUGGAAAAUGGAAGCAAAAACUAAGUUUAUUUGCAAAAAAGUUUUUGAAAUCUCUGUGUGUAAUCUUAAGCAUUUUCCAGGAAAUCUUGGAGAUUCCCAUAUGCACAGAUUUCAAAAUUUUUUGCACAAAAUAAACUUAUCUCUUGAUUUUCCAUUUUCUGUGAAGCCUCUUCGUGUUUCUCUCACACGCGUAUGUGUACACAUGUGCGUCGUUAGCACACUGGACACACACUGCCCAUGGCCACUUCCUCAAUAUUUUAUUGUGCACAUAAAGUUGAACUAUUUAGUCAAUAUCCAUAUGACCACUGGGGUUAUUCUAGGAUUAACAUUUUGUGUGCAGUCAUCCCCCAGUGUCCAGGGAGUGUCGUUCCAAAAACCGCACAGAGACCAGAAUCUCAGCUGGAGCAAGUCCGCCUUGGAAGCUGGCACCGUGUUUGUUUGCCGCGCAUGCGUGCUGCAGCACCCCACCAAAGAUGGCGCUGUGUUUGCAUGGCGCGCAUGCGUGCAUAAGUCCGCCAUGGAAGCUGGCGCCAUGGUUGCCUGGCGCGCAUGCGUGCUGCAGCACCCCACCAAAGAUGGCGCUGUGUUUGCAUGGCGCGCAUGUGUGCAUGAGUCCGCCAUGGAAGCGGGCGCCAUGUUUGCCUGGCGCGCAUGCGUGCUGCAGCACCCCCCCCCCCACCAAAGAUGGCGCCGUCGUAGCCAGGAGUAUAGCGCGUCUCCCGCGUGCCUGCGCCACCUCUGGGUUGCUCGUGAAACCAUACAACGCCCACGCUCCGUCCGCAGUCGGCGCACUGGAUGGCCUAGGGAAGAACGAUAA
rnacentral:lncRNA from 1 species